GGUUAAGUGACUAAGCGUACAGGGCGGAUGCCUUGGCAAUCAGAGGCGAUGAAGGACGUGCUAAUCUGCGAAAAGCUUGGAUGAGUCGAUAAGAGGCGUUUAAUCCAAGAUAUCCGAAUGGGGAAACCCAGUAGAUGAAGAAUCUACUAUCAAUAAAUGAAUACAUAGUUUAUUGAGGCGAACCGGGAGAACUGAAACAUCUAAGUACCCCGAGGAAAAGAAAUCAACCGAGAUUCUGUGAGUAGCGGCGAGCGAAAGCGGAAGAGCCAGUAAGUUUUAGCUAGCAUAUUAGAGGAAUUGGCUGGGAAGCCAAAUCAAAGAGGGUGAUAAUCCCGUACUCGAAAGUAUGUUAGUGGAACUAAGCUUACGAUAAGUAAGGCGGGACACGAGAAAUCCUGUUUGAAGAUGGGGGGACCAUCCUCCAAGGCUAAAUACUCCUGAUUGACCGAUAGUGAACCAGUACUGUGAAGGAAAGGCGAAAAGAACCCCGGUGAGGGGAGUGAAAUAGAACCUGAAACCCUGUACGUACAAGCAGUAGGAGCGAGGGCAACCUUGUGACUGCGUACCUUUUGUAUAAUGGGUCAGCGACUUAUAUUUUGUAGCGAGGUUAACUGAAUAAGGGAGCCGAAGGGAAACCGAGUCUUAACUGGGCGUUGAGUUGCAAGGUAUAGACCCGAAACCCGGUGAUCUAGCCAUGGGCAGGUUGAAGGUUGGGUAACACUAACUGGAGGACCGAACCGACUAAUGUUGAAAAAUUAGCGGAUGACUUGUGGCUGGGGGUGAAAGGCCAAUCAAACCGGGAGAUAGCUGGUUCUCCCCGAAAUCUAUUUAGGUAGAGCCUUGAGCGGACACCUUCGGGGGUAGAGCACUGUUUCGGCUAGGGGUCCAUCCCGGAUUACCAACCCGAUGCAAACUGCGAAUACCGAAGAGUGAUACUCAGGAGACACACGGCGGGUGCUAACGUUCGUCGUGGAGAGGGAAACAACCCAGACCGCCAGCUAAGGUCCCAAAGUCUAUAUUAAGUG
rnacentral:rRNA from 1 species